GACAAAAAGAAAUGGCUGAAAGCAGGAACACCAGAAUUCUUCAAAUUGGAGAAGGUCAUGUCGAACAAGCGAAUCCUGAAAGCUGUGGAAAAAAUCAGUCCCCACCACCAAACAUCAUCUGUGGAGGCUUUCCACAGUGUCAUCCUUCGUUUUGCACCCAAGAACGUGGUUUUUCUUUUUCUUGGAAUGCUGUGCAGACUCUACUUGGCUGUACUCUACUACAAUGAGAAUGCUGACCGACCACAAGCCAAAACUUCUGCUGGAGAACCAGUCUUCAAGGUGCACUUCCCAAAGGCCAAGAAGGGAGAGUGUGUGGCUAAACCAGUUAAGACUGAGCCAACUUUUCGUAAGUUUAAAAUACUUUAUUUUGUAUCCAAA